rnacentral:rRNA from 1 species
UGAUCCUGCCAGUAGUCAUAUGCUUGUCUCAAAGAUUAAGCCAUGCAUGUCUAAGUAUAAGCUUUUAUACGGUGAAACUGCGAAUGGCUCAUUAAAACAGUUAUCGUCUCCUUGACAAUCAUCCAGUUUUGGAUACCUAUGGUAAUUCUAGAGCUAAUACAUACGUACAGACCCAACUUCGCGGAAGGGUUGUGCUUAUUAGAUACAGAACCAGCCCAGGCUUGCCUGGUCUCGAGUUGACUCAUAGUACCCAGCGGAUCGCAUGACUUGUUCGGCGACGUGUCAUCCGAGUUUCUGACCUAUCAGCUUCCGACGGUAGUGUAUUGGCCUA